UACGUUUUAGUAUAUUAUGUACGUGAAACUUUGAUUUUCAAGGGGCAGCUUAUCGCUGUAAAAUGUGU
rnacentral:tRNA from 1 species